rnacentral:rRNA from 1 species
AGAGUUUGAUCCUGGCUCAGAACGAACGCUGGCGGCGUGCUUAACACAUGCAAGUCGAACGCGAAAGUUUUCUUCGGAAAGCGAGUAGAGUGGCGCACGGGUGAGUAACGCGUAAGUAAUCUACCCUGAUAUCUGGGAUAACCCACCGAAAGGUGUGCUAAUACCGGAUACGCUGAUUUAUCAGGAAAGGUGGCCUCUUCAUGAAAGCUACUGUAUCAGGAGGAGCUUGCGUACCAUUAGCUAGUUGGUAGGGUAAUGGCCUACCAAGGCAACGAUGGUUAGCGGGUCUGAGAGGAUGAUCCGCCACACUGGAACUGGAACACGGACCAGACUCCUACGGGAGGCAGCAGUGAGGAAUAUUGCGCAAUGGGGGAAACCCUGACGCAGCGACGCCGCGUGGAUGAUGAAGGCCUUCGGGUCGUAAAAUCCUGUCAGAUGGAAAGAAAUGCAUAUGUAUUAAUACUACGUAUGUUUGACGGUACCAUCAAAGGAAGCACCGGCUAACUCCGUGCCAGCAGCCGCGGUAAUACGGAGGGUGCAAGCGUUGUUCGGAAUUACUGGGCGUAAAGCGCGCGUAGGCGGUUUGUUAAGUCAGAUGUGAAAGUCCACGGCUCAACCGUGGAAGUGCAUUUGAAACUGGCAGACUUGAGUACUGGAGGGGGUGGUGGAAUUCCCGGUGUAGAGGUGAAAUUCGUAGAU